rnacentral:lncRNA from 1 species
UAGGAAUUCACUCUGCAUUUUCCAAUUUGAUGUGUCUGAAAUUCUCUUUGAACAAAUUCCAAAAUACAAGUUUUUUCUAUAGAAAUUAGCAUAGCAAUCACAUCAAUAAUAUCACUAUCUCUAUGGGAAUGAUAACUGGAGCAGUGGGGGUGUUCUUUAUUUCAAUUCUUCGUGGAUCAACUGAUUAUAUUCUGUCUUCUUUUGAACUUGUUAUUGUAAGUCAAGUGAUUCUUUAUAAGUGACAGCCCUGACAAAGAGACGAGGAUGGGAAAGCAGGUCGAAAGGAAGUCGCCAUAUGGACUUUAAAAAAGGCACUUUUUAAACAAGAUAAUGGGGAAAUGGAUGUUGCCUUUUAACCCUGUCAAGGCUGAACAUUAUUAGCAGUCUCAUAAAGGAAUAAGCUAUACCUUUUUGGUUUAAUAUCAGAUUUCACCUUAUGAUUUCCGUGACCUAGGGCUUCACAGUUCAACGUAGGAGGUGACGGUACUUCAGAGACAAGGGCCAAAUCAGGCACCUGGAGCCCUGGCAGGCGUGAGAUUUGAGAGCACUGCACAAAGAGUUACAGAAGAAUGAGAGCUCAGGAAAACCCCAUGGUUCUUUUUCCUGAGACAAAGAUAAGAAUAUUGGCUGGAGAUAGGUGAAACAGCAACUGACAGCAGAGGAGCUUGAGACAUCUCACUGGGAUUUCCUGUUCCUUUGGUAAAAGCGCCUGAUGCUCUUUUAAUGACAGCAAGCAGAGUGAAAACAAAGAGUGAGGAUGAAGACUUUGACUCUGAUCCUUGCAAAAAUUAAUAUAUUUGUCCUCCCCUUUCUGUUCUGGAGGGAACAGAAGUUUCCCUCCAGAAUUUUGUCAGUGGACAGAGAUUAGGAACCACGUCCCGGGAAGCUGAACCUAUGUACUAAACCCUCACUGAGCUGACAGCGGAGCCAUGAUCUGCCACUGGUGAAUGUCCAGGCAAUUUUUGAUUGCCCCCAGUCAACAGAUGAUCAUCCAGCUCAGCUCCACAGCAAGAACGUGUCAACCAAAGGUUUCUCAAAGUCUGGAAGAGGAGGCUACUAUGCAAGAAAUGGUGCUGUCAGAGGAGGAUGUUGUAAAGAAGACCAGCCAAAAUUAUUUUCCCCGGGGCAUCAUAAGCAUGCUUAUUUGGGCUGGGAUAGCCAACCUUUCCCCAAAAUGGAUCCUGAUGAAAUAAUCUAUGUUUGUGAGCUGAGUACAUCCAUAGAGAUGAGAAUUCCCAAAACUGUGUUGACUCAAUGACACGCUUUGGCUUUUGGCAACGUCUGUUGGAUAGAUGGGAUUUAGAAGACCUCAGACAUGUGCUCAGGGAGACUUUGCGCCAACCUUCCCUGGAAUUCCUAAUGUCCUCAACACCAUCUGUCGUGCCCUCCAGUAUUACUUUCUUCUCCUUUUGCAUCCAAAGAAAGGUAUUUCUCUACAAAGUCUUCAUGUCCUCACAGUUACAGAGGCUCUACUGCCCAUAGCUACUUCUCCAAUUUCUCAGGUUGGUUUUAUUCCCUUUUGUACCUCUUCUGUGCAUAGGCAGGAAUACUCUACCUGGUUUAUCUUGGCAAAAACACUACAGGAAGAAGAAAAGAGAAGAAGAAAUGUACAUUGCUAAACAGUGGGCAUCUUCUCAGGCAGUAAAUAUCUUCUCAGGCAGUGGAAGCUAUUGGAUACAGAUGUGUCAAACCUAGAACAGGAGCAUGAGAGGAAAUAAGAGCCGAGGGUUUUGGCCAGGCAACAUUAUCGUUCCUUGUGAUUUCCACCUCUGUAAAAUGACAGGGCUUCAGACAGACAUAAAUAAAAAGCAAGGAGAACUCAAAUCUCACCAGUUUGAUGAACCCAACAAAAAGCUCAGGUGGGAGGAGAGGUGUUAGGAGUAUUUUUUGAGGCUUUAUACAGGGAAGUAACAAAAUACAAAUAGUUCUACAGUAAUUUACACAGUAGGUAAGGGAGAAACAUUAGCUUUAUAUAUUUAAAUAUUUAUAAAUUGUUUGCUUUAUAAGGAAGGAUUGAGGAAUAAUCCUGCCUUUGUUCUUAAAAAGUGUGAUCAGCAUUUCCUUCCUAAAGAGAGGUGAUAAGCAAGUGGGCAUUCUUUUUACAAGGCUGCAGAAGCCCACUGAAAGCUUAAUGCCUUUAGAAGGGGGAGGGUCUCUUUUCCGAGGAAGAGCAGAACAUCAGGUCUUUAAUAUUGAUAAGGAAAAGCUCGUAAAAGGAACCAUCUAAUAGCAGGGACUUCACAUAAGGAAUUUCAGAAAACUUACAGUAAAUGUUUCAGCAAACUCUGGAACAGGUGGUGCGAUCUACAUGGCAGUCUGAGCCAGCGAAAACACAAGUCAUCCAGCAAGAAAGUCGCUGAAGCAUGGUUCAAGAAGACAUAAAUAAAACACUUUCACAGGAAAAAGGGAAACCCCUUCCAAAAUGCUUGUUAAAAACAUAGGAGUUCCCUGGGCAAAACCCCAGCAAACUGACAAGGUGGAUGAAGGUUUUCCCACUUGUACAGACUGUGUAAAGAAGCUUUCUGGAAAAAGGACCUUGAGAUCCCAGUUUUCAAAACAGACCGCAGAGAGAACCCAUCUGAGAACAAGCUGUCUAUUUCCCAGGGACCACAGCCAAAAUAAGUGUCACUAAACAGGUUUGAUCAGCAAAUAUUAUAUGAGUCAUCAUCACAGGGACUCAGAGGUAGAGGUGAUCAGAAUUUAGGGGAAAAAAAAAAACAAGUGAAAACAAACAACCUCAUUUUUUAGGAGAUACAUUCGCAUCCUCAACUGUAGCAGUCAACUGUCACCAAGCCAGAUGUCAGAAAAGCUGUUAAGUCCACUAAAAGCAUACACUGAGGCCAGGAAUCUAUUUUGGCCACUUUUUGUCACAGUCAUUGCAACAGUUUGUCAAAUCACAGGCACUAAGGAAGAAUGUAAGAGGAAGUAUGGAGGUAUGAAGUGGACACCAGGAAGAUGUGGAAUGGAAGCAGUAUCUAAAGCAGGGCCAGUGUGGAGGCACAGAUCUCUCUCGUAAUCCUAACAACACUGAUAUUUUCUUUCUUUCCAAAGCAAGGGUGAAACUGGAAUGAAAUGGUCCAUCCAAGUCUUACUGAGACUGACAGGCUGGAGACCUGGCUUUGAAGUUUCCUAUGGACAAAAGUGGUUACUUUUGUAUUUCUACUGAAGAAUCUAUGCAUAACCAGAUGAAUUCAAAGGUAAGCCAUCUCUGAAACAACUGGGAAGUAAGUCAAAAACGUGGGCGUUUUCAUCAGACAGUUGAAAACCUGUUCUACACAAGAAGACAAUGAAGAAUUCUGCAGAAGACUGCUCUACAAACAUCUGGAAAUACACAGAAAUCCACACUGAAGGGCAUGGUGCUGAGCAUGGAGCUGAGAGGGAGGGUGCAAAGUCAGAUGCUGCAUGGAAAAUCGUGAGCCCUCAGAAGUCCCAACCUGCCCUUCGUGCUCUUCCUGCUGCAAGGAUUUUGCCUACGGUUUUAGAAUGCUUCUGCCACUUCCGCUGAUGCUGAGGUAAUUGCCACAUGCCGAAGUCGAGCCAAGGAAGGUUUGGUAUCACAGUGCCUCCUGUGCUCCUUCUAAGCAAAUGCACGGCUGCAGCUCCUUUUUCUUCAUAUUCUCUCUUGGAAAAUAUACCUAGAGGGAAAAAUUUAAGAAGUGAUAUUAACAGCUCAGUACAGCCAAGAAGAGUGCUAGAGAAAUUGAGGCAUUAAAAAGGGUUAAGGUAAAAUAAUAAACUGUUAUUAAGCCUAUUAACAGUUUUAAAACAUCAUUGUUUAUGGCACGAUAGAGCUUGGCUUUUUACGGGUGUUUCAUUUGUACAUUUUACUUAUUCUGCUACUAUUUAACAAUGCCAUGAAUCUCUGCUUUAAGCCCCCUCAGUAAUGCACUGAUUUAAUCUGAAUCUACUAACCCUACUUAUAAAAUAACGUUGCAACCAAACAGAGGUUAACAUUUCAUAACUUCCAACUGCAAGCAUAGAGGCUAAAAUUUUACGAGGGCCCUCAAAAAUAAUACCCACUUUAUUAAGUAUAAAAUACACGGAAUUAAUCUCAGGUCUUCACUGGGUAUUUGUGCAGAAGGGAUGUGAACAGACGCCUAGCUUUGCUCCCGCAGGUCGGCCAUGCCAUGCCCCAGCACAGGCAUCACAUUCAGGGCCCCGUGCUGCUUGACUGACCAAGACAUGACAGAGCCGUCUUUCAUUAAUGUUACAAAAAUGCUGGCAGGAGUAAACAAGCAACACUUCAUGGAUUUGGGUUUAUAAUUUCACUUCCUCUCAACGCUACUACUUACCACAGCUUCUCUGUGAUUCUUUUAACUUGCACUUGGUAGAUCUUAGUUGAGGAAAGAAGGGAAAAAAAAAAACAACUUUUAUCCAGUGAGACACUUUAUCAAGAAAAUUCUACAAGAAAUUGGUUGUUACCUGCGGAUAACAACUGGUUUGUUAGUUAAUGGCUAGAGGCAAAGCCAAGGCCAGUUAAUGCUCCAGCUGUCCAGUCAUUAACUGCAGUAAAGACUGAUUUUGAGGAGGUUAUUGCCGUGAUAAAAUAUCCUCAAAAGAUUAUAACAGCAAUAGUGUACAGAGAAAAAAAGUAUUAGUGGCUAUAGUGUGACUGAAUGGCUGCAUUUGAAAAAUUGGUCAUUCCCUGGCGGUUCAUAACCGAUUUUCCACCAGUCAAAAAGCAAGUUGUGCUCUGUUAGGUUUAUUGUACAAGGCAAUAAAAAUAUUGGCCAGGUUAAAUUGUCAGCGUGUUAUGACAUUAACCAUUCUUUUACUGUGCUUAAUUUAAGUGUUACUAUGAUUCAUUACAGAAAGAAACUGUCCUUUGCAAGUAAACAGGGGCAUUUCAGCACUGAGAACAGAUAGCA